GCCCCGAGCCGCCGGGCCUGCGCGCUGCGCCGCCCCCUGACCCGGCGCUUGACCCGGGCCCGGCCCGGCCCGCUGCCCCCGCGGGGGCCGUUUCGCCCUCGGCGGCCCGCUGCCUGCCCGGGCUCCCCUUGCCCGGCCGCCGGCGGGGGUUGUCGCGUGCCCCGCGGCCGCCCCUCGUCUCGCGUCCUCGGGCUGGAACUGCGUCCCGAAAGCGCCCUGGAGGCCUCAAGUGACGCGUAGAGCUUGCUUGUAAAAAGUGCACACCUGUGUACAUACCUAAACGCACACCCGCGUGCGUGUUAUGCCGUAACGCACGUGCGCGUGGCGUUUGUAACUUGGCAGCGCUCUCUUAAAAGGCUCGAAAAUGCCCAAAGUGGUACCUCUACCGCAGGGAUCAUUACAGCUUCUAAUUUAUUGCUCAUUUCUGAGCUCUUACUACCUGGCAGCGGAGCCAAGCAGGUUGGAGGAAUGGGCGAGCAGCGGGUGUUUUUCAUUAAUUAAGCCUCAAGACAGCAGCAGGAGGUUGUGACGGGUUUCAUCUCGGGAGCUCUGGGUGCCGAAGCCCUGUGAGCGAGGUUGCUUCCCAGGACGUCGCAUCGCCGCCGCUGCCUCCUGCCCCGCGUCGUGCUCGCGCCGAGCGCCGCAGCCGCGAGACGUGCUGCGGGAGGAACAUCUGGGCUCGCGGAGCUGGUAGUCAAUCUAUUUCUGUCAUCCUCAGCUAAAAACAAUUUGUCAGAGACUUCUCAAACGGCUUCCUGUGGAAUAGACGUGCUGCCAAAUUCGUGGAGUUUUUGGACUCGAGAAUUCGUAGCCGCAGUGAACGAGCAUGGCCAUUAUCUCCCAAAAAUAUUUCCAUAGGAAGACAUAAUAUUGCUAAAAUAGCGAUGUUGCUGCUGUGUUCAUAAAGGACAGUUACGUAACAGCGCGGGUUGCUUUACUGGCCGUGGUGCUGUUCGCUGUGUGCGUUAAGUGACGUUUAUGGGCUGGGCCCGGGUUCUCCAGAGCUUUAGGGUCUCAAGAAAAUUCCCACCAGCUCCCACCGCUGACCGUGGGGUGACCAGGCUGCGCUCCCGCGUCCCCCCACCAGCGGUUUCUGGACGGCUGCCUUACCUGUGGCUGCACGUUUGGAGGACUCCGGCAGCGGUGCUUCGCCGAGGGGCCGCCCGGGACCGUGCCGAGCUGGAAGGGAUCGCAGGUGCCGGGCCCGUUUCCCAGAGGGAUGCAGGCACCUGGCAAGCAUCGGGAGGAGCAAAGAGGAAGGUUUCCGUGGGGAUACGGUGCCGGUCAGGGCUGGGCACGUGUAACGCGGCGGACGCUCAGCUGGGCAAAGCAGUGACAGCUGCGGUGCCGGUCUGUCCGGUGUGGCCACAUGGGCUUAAAGUUGUUAAAUUAAGUAUUCACUGGAAGGUUUACGUGCACGUAGAGGAGCACGUAAUCUGCUUGUGUGCUGUGCUGCGGUUGACUGGAAGUGUCCCCGUUGCAGUCGCUCUCAGCGCUGGGCGAUUGCCCUCUGCUAGGCAUCGUUUCUCCCCUCCUGCUAGUUGUCUCCCACGGCUGCGAGCAGCACAGAUGUUUCAGCAACGCACACUCCGUCCUGCAGCUUCCAGAUAGCCUUGAGGGACCACAGCAGAAAGCGACACUUUAACAAAAACCUCUCGAGAGAAGCCGUAUUUUCUGUUCCUGCACGACAUACCAAGCAAGGUGCGCUAAGGCUCCUUCGUCCCUGCAGCGUUCUUCUGCUUUCACCAAGAUUCGGCUUGCAUUUAGUGCAAAUACAGGAGUUACAUAUAUUCAGUGGUAAACAAAGAAUAUACUUACCCUAUUCAAUCAAUAAAAUAAUUACGGAAAACCAGGCAAGUCAUAAUAUACAAUAAAUAAUACAAUCUUUGCAACAUUUGGAACACAGUGAGUAAUAAACACUGAUUUGAGAAAAGAGUGUUAAGUAAAGAUAUUUGAACUAUAGUUUAACUUGCACACAAAAUUAAGGAAAAACUUUUUUUGGUUUCAAAUAAAUGGAAUCUGGUUUUUCAAUAUAAAAAAGUAGAUUAAAGUUGAGGUAAAAACUGAAACCUGCUGAUAGUACGAGUGCAUGAAAAUACAUUAUUUUUUGGAUCAGAGAGCUUUAAUAAUAACAAAUAUUAUAAAGAGAAAUCAAAACUAGAUUGUAUACUCACCAGAUUGUUCAAUACAAAAGCCAACAAAAUUAGCCCAUAUUGAUGUGAUAAGCAGGAAUAAAUAUAUUAGUUUCCAGAUCACGACAUUUCGGUACAAGAUAUUGAAAAACCAGGUCAAUUUUUAUAUCAGUCAGGUUCCUUUUAAAGUGGUCCAUAUCCUUCAGCAGGAAAAUCUAGAGAACUGGCCCCUAUUGAUGUAUCGAUCAUUAAAUGUAAAUAUAUUGCUUUCUGGUUCACAGAGAUUCAGAGAGAAAAGCUAACAAAGUGCUUGCGUUCGGCGUGGGUGAAAUCGGACCGGGUGCUGAGUGCCGCCGGGCACGCGGGAACGGGUCCCGGACGGGCCAACGUGGGGCACCCGGGCCGAGCCACGAGCCCUGACGAUCAAACUCAUCCUCCAGCUCGUGCACCGACCACGGCGGUAAGGACUCAGCUUUGCGGUCCGUGUUCGCUGGAGCGUCCUCAGCGGCCCCGACCGAGGGGAGCCGGUCCCCUGUGAGGAGCCGGGCCGGUCCCGUGGCCACCCGGGGCUCGUGUCGCCUGCUGGCACCGCAGGCUGUGCGGGAAGAGCGGCCGCCGUGCAAGAGCCCCGCUGUCGGGACUGCUCAAGGACACGCGGGUUAUCGCCUGAGCAAGUUUCAAUCGGGGCAGAAAAAGGUAAACAAAAGGGAGCAAAUUCACUCUUGGAGAGAGAGGCCCUGGAUAAACCUGGAUUUUAUUACGCUUUAGCACCUUUAACAGUGUCUUCUAAGAUUUAGGAUCUGCACUGUUUCGCUGAUGAAAAAAUCACUGCUGCAAAUGGAAUUAGUGUGGAUUAAUAACAGAGGAAGGAAGGGGCUGUCUUAUGAUCCAAAGUCUUUGGGCUGUAAGACUUGGUCAUGUUUCUGCGGAGUCUGGGGUAAAUUUGACUUGAGACAAGAAUCAGUUACAGGGUUUCAUGGGAAUUUGAAAUAGUCUCAUUAAAUUACUUCUUUAGAAACCCUAAUCUUCCUUAUUUACCUGAAAUAAUGUGUUUGUAAAAAUGUAUUCUCCAUAAUGAUAGCUCUGUAUGAAGAACCUGCUCAACGCACACUGUAAUUAAGUGUCUUGUGUGUCUAAUUAUUGUUCAGCCAUACAUCAAGGUGCUUUGACACUGCAUACUUGCAGACUAGGCUAGCGUUUAAGGAAAUUUGUAGACCAGUGAAAACCUCAUUGAUAAAUGUGACCAGUAACGUAUCUAUUAAAGUAGUAAAUCUGCAAUUUUGUUAUACCAGCAGUAUACCAUAGCUUAGGUCGUAGCGGGUAGCAACUGGGAAACCAGUUUGGGAGUUGUAUUCGGUGGGAAUUAGAGCAGGAAUUAACUGGCUGUGCUGGCAUAUUGAAAAACAAACAAACGAGACUUAACCCUGCCUUACAUGAUCCUUGUUGUCACGGUUAAUGCCACUGAGAUAAAUACAGCCAGCAAGGAAGAGGAGAUGAUCCUCAGGAGUAAUAUGUCUAGGAAUGGGUAGAACAGAGGAUGAGGUAAAGAGCAGGAGGGAAUGUUUGUGUGAAUAUGAGGGAGGAAGAAAAAUGGGGGGGAUCCAUCCUUAGACGGCAAGGUGGAGCAUGCAGGUCUGCUCGCUCUCGUUAUCUAUACGCCCAUCAGCUACAGAGGCUUUCGUUUGAUGAAAGGAUCAGAGGAAUACUUGGAAAAAAGCUUCAAUUUGAGGCCUAAAUUAAGUGUUGAUAUUAAUAGCAUGUUUAAUUAUGAGUGAAAUCCAAUCAGGUAAGCCUGGGAAGGUAAAAUGAAGGGGAAAAUGUGCCAUAAGAGUUUCUGAUUAAUAAGUAAAAUACAAUUAACUAUUCUCAAUAAAUGGAAAAAACGUUAAACAUUAUCAGCAACAUUUUGGCAGAGCUACCUGAAUGUGUCUCUGUACCAAUGCGGCCGCACAGUAGCUGGACAAGAGCUGGUUUCUCUCCAGUCCACAGCGCAGGGAGGAGCAGGUCGUGCGUAUCUGUCCUGAUUGCAUAUCCUUUGCCUACAGUUUUAUGGUUUGAUGUUGAAAGUACUCUGAGCCUACGUAAACAAGGUACUGGGGCAAGUUUUCACUCUGUAUGCAAACAGUUGUGGGGUUUUUUUUUGGUUUUUUUUUGUUUUUUUUGGUGGAUUCUGUGCUUAACAGUUGAAUUUCCCUUUGUGCUAUACAGGAGGCAGAGCAGCCUGACUUGCAUUGAUUCUAGCACCUAAAAACCUUGGGUUAAAAUGUGCAGCACUGCAAGGUCACAAAUCUUUUUACAGAUGCAUACUAUGUGCCUAAGUCCUUUCUAAGUCCCUUUGUUUAAUUAGUGCUUGAAUUUCAAGGAUGUAGGAUGAGAAGAUAAUAGUUCAGGAUCUUGCUUUUUUCAAGCAUUACAUAUUAUUACUACUAUAAUUUCAGUUCCUGAGUCAAAAAUACUUCUUCCUUCUUCACUGCAUAUAAAGACUGAAUUGACAUACUUGGUGGUGGUGGUGCUUUCUGCUUCUGAGUAAUCUCUUCUUUCACAGUCGUAGCAUUAUAGUAAGAUAGAAGGAUUAACUUCAAGGCUCACUGAAGGAGUUACUGUGACACAAAUGGGUUUGUCUUCCAUGAGUUGAACUUGAGGUUCGUUGUAUAAUAAAUUUCCCUUACAGGAAUUUGUUAACCUGAGUGAUAGCAGUAAACUCUUGUCCUGAGGGUUUUACAGUUAUUCACGUUCCUUUUUAGUAUAAAAUUGUUGUUGUCCUUUGGUGUAUGCUGCUUUUUCACAGCUUAUUUUUAAGCUUGUUUCCUGUAACAUAGCCGACUGGCAACAGCACCCCAAAAGCAUGUGAAAGAUGUCUUCUAGAUGCUGUUCUAAGACAGUAUUUAUGUUGAUCUGUUUGCACUAGCAUAGAGGAAUAAAAGCAGUCAUUCUGAUAUUUUUGAUAUCACUAAACAAUACUGAAAUGAGAUAAAGUUUAAAGCUUCUAUUUUCCUCUUGGCCCAAGAGUAGCCUAGUACUAAAACUUAAAUCCAACCAUAUCUUACAAGAGCUACCAGUACUAGCUCUUAUUUUGCUUUUCUGUGCCAGUGAGUCUUGGUAAAGACCAUAUUUCUACAUGGGUCAAAAAGUGAAGAAAGCAUGAUUUACAUGAGAAGAUCCAUGAUGUCCGAGGGGAAGAUACUGAGUAUAUCAGUCUCCUGAUUGGCAGAGGAGGCAAAGGGAGCAGUGAUUUCCAAAAAACAAACAAAAAAACAUAUAAAGGAAGUCUGUGUUUGUAAAAACAAUCAAAAUGCCAUGUUUCUCAAAUGAGAUUUGGGGUGGAAGGAAAACUGUGGCCACUUAACUGCUAAUGGUACAAAGUUAAGACCUUGGCAAGGCUGUGCCGCUGCCGGCUGCGUAACCGCUGCCCGCAGGGGAGAGGUCUCCGAGUUGCCGAGGAUUGCUUCCUAAGGGCCCACGCCAGCCCCGUGAGCCUGGGUGCCGCCUAACUACCUUAGACGGGUACUUAAUGACUGCUGGGGAAGUUCAUCUCUAUACAAGGCACUGCUUCCUGCGCUAAAUGUCCUAAUUAGUAGUUUAGUAGCACAAGUAGUGCUUUUGCAUGACUUCCCAGUAAAUUGGGGCAUUAUUUUGGCAAUGCAGUUUGAGGUCUGUAAGACAGCAGUUUUAAUUCCUCUGCUUUUGUGAGAUGGGCUACUUGUCGAUUGAUCAUACAUUUAAAACUCAGUUAAGAAACCUAAGCUACCUCAAAACUCAUGAAUACUUGCCAACAGAAAAAGGCGCACAGAGAAGAGGCUAGCGCAGGCGCAGCUGGAGCAGUUGUCCCACUCGUUCAAGUACCUGAUGCUAAACUAUCCAAGUGUCUUGCGUAAUGCUCGAAGUUUGGAGUGUUCUCUCCAGUGAUCAGCCUUUAGAAAUAUAAAGAAAAACGAGUGAGCCAGAGGUGGAAUUUCUGUUGAUAGCUGGAAACUUGGUGUUUAUGACAAAGGUUUUAUGAUUCUUUAAUUAUAUUUGAGGCAACUUGCCCCAAUAGCAGAAGAAAAGGGACCAAAUAGACUGUGGGAAAGAAAAGCCUUAAUCAGUUUAACUUCUUUUGUCCUUGCAGAAAUUGAACCUUUUAGCUGUAUUACAAGUCAGCAUUUCACAGAGAAGAAAUUGUUAGCUCUCGUAAUCCACCGUGAUGAACAAUCAUUAGGAAGCGCAGACAAAUGUAAUACGAAGAACGUGAAGAAUACAGAAGCAAGAGAUUCCCUUUGAGAAUCUGGAGCGCUGGAAACUGAAAUUCUCUGUAGGAGUCGGAAGUAAGAAUAAUGCUUGAUUUAAGAAGUAUCAUUUUUCACUAUUACAAUGAUGAGUAUGAGCCUUCCCCUCUUGUUGUGUAAUUUCAGGCAAUCGGAAAAGAUCCUAAUUAAUAUUUGUAGUGCUACUGUGGUUCAGAUCAGGGUAAUGAGCAUGUCCUGUGUUACUUAUCACUGGUAGGUAAUGUUUCAGUUGAGAUAUAUAUUUCCAAAACUUUUCCAGGAACUACAAAGAACACUUGUUCCAACAGAGAGCUCAUAUCUCUUCCUUAAAAAUAUGACGUUUAGCAAGCAAACUGAAAAAUAAAAUUUGUCUUGCCUGUGUGGUAUGUUUUGGCAUGCUGGGAACAGAGUGAGAGCUGCAAACUGGGAAUAAGGCUCAUAGAAUAAGUCAGUGCUUCUAAAAGUAAUAGUAAAUAAUACUCUAUUUUUGCAGAGUUAGGAUAAAACAGUUUGCAGAGUAUUUUAAUCAGGUGUUCUCUGAUCAAAUAUGAAGUGUCCUGUUAAAUGAUCUAUCCUAACGAGAAUGCUGUGUUGAUUUCCAGAUCAGCCUCUGUCUUGGCUUCACAGGUAGGGUUGUAAAUUAAAAAAAAGAGUGUGGGGGGGCAGUAGCAUUUAACUGUCUGGAAGCUUUGGCAUUAUAAUCUGUGUAAACCUCUCUCUGUAUGACUAUGCAUUGUUACUGAGUUUUACAACAAAACUUCUAUUUGCAUCAAAUCCUGUAGUGUUAAUUUUCUUCUCUUAUUAAGUUGAAGAAGAGUUGAAGUUCCUUUUAUUAAGUUGUUGAGACUUCAACCUGCUUCCUGAGGGCUAAAUUUGGCUGAGAGAACCAUUGUAAUAUUGUGUAAUUAAUUUGCCAGUCAAAUAAUUUCUGCAGGGCUAUAAUUUACUUAUCUGUCUGCAACCCUAAUGAAUCUUCCAGUUCAGUGCUUUAGUCCUGUUUUCUGCCUUUUUAUCUCCCUUUUUUGACUCUGACUUUCAUAAUCCCUUUAAUAUGGGCCGCUCGUUAAUCUUGUGUUUUGGGGAUCAUCUUAUGCUAUUCUCACCAGCAAUAUUAAAAAACAGCUACAUACCUAGAGUUUGUAGUAUGAAUGUGAACUAAUUGAAGACUUUCUUGCUUUAUUGCUCCAUCUCAGGUGAGCCACCAUAACAAAUAAGGGAGUGGAUUUAAUAAAAAUCAAAAAUGUAAAAAUACAGGAAAAAGUGAUUUUUAUUUUGAGGCUUUAAGAUUGUAACUUCCAUUUGAUCUAGUCUAACAUAUGUGCAAAAAUUCCUAAUAGUUAUUCUGAGCACUAUAUUCCUUAAUUAAUGGCACUAGAUAAAACCAUUCACUAAAUGUAAAAUUCAGCUAAUUUUUGAGUUGUUUAACUUUUCAAAUUGCUCACAAGCUUGUCCUAGUUUUUUCCAAUACAUGUAUUAUUUUUAAAAAGUUUGACAAGCGUCACGAGUAAGCAGUUGAUGUGUUAUUGAUUAUCCCUGAAAUUUGUCAAUUUAGUUAAUGUUUCUGACCUCUGACAAAUUUUUUUUGAAGGAGGAGAGGAAUGUUUAUUGUAAUCAUUCUUAUGAAGCUUAUACAUUAGGUAACUUUGAAACUGAACUCUUUUCAGACUGAAUUAUAGAAAUCCAUCAGCAAAUCUUGGAGAAAGAUUGCCAUGGAAAAAAUACAGCGAAUUUAAGAAUGCACCUAAAGAGAAUUGAUGAAAAAUGCAAAAACUGGACCAGAUUAAAUGAAAACCAUUUUCUCAGGGACAAUUAAGGCCUCCCUUAAACAAGCAUAAUGUUUGUGAGGUACCAGGAAUGAGUUAAUCCCAACAAGGAAUGUAGGGAAACUGCUAGAUAAUAGAGUGACAUUGUUUUUCCCUGAUGUCAGCAUAGAAACCCAAACACAAAGAGGUGAAUGUAGUCCUAUGAGAGCGCUGUUGAGAAAGCUGAAUGUUGAGUUUGUGCUGUGGCAUCCAGCAAAAUUAAAAACUAUUCUGCACACUAUGACAGCGUAUUUCCUGGAACCAGGGAUUGCUUCCAGACAUCUGGACAAGGCUGACGCUGUGGGGGUAUUGAGGAGAAUCAUGAGAUACGCAUGUGGCAUCACUGGGAAUUUUAGUGCUGCUAUGGCAGCAACAGUGUUAGAUUCCUGCUUUCUGAAGUAUUAAAAACAUUCAGUAUUGAUAGGUCUGAGUUUGCCAGCAAGUAGAUUUACAGCCAUAUAUGGGUGAUUUUGUUUUACUUUAUAGCUUAAUGUAAGGCAUCUUAUUUCCUUGCAUAGGAUCCACAUUCUAGCCUGAAUUACUCCAUUUAUUCUAUAUUUAGUAAGUGAUGGUGUAGAGGGUAUUCGGAGCUAGUUGCAAUUGAAAUAUUGUUUCACUGUAAUACCAGCUGCCCACAGCCCCUUGUACUGUUAAUACAUGAAUAUUAAUUAAGUACUUGCUGAUCCUCUGUGGAUCUGUAGCUGCUCUUCUCAGCAAUUUGCAUGUGCUCUUGUCUUGAUCCAGCUCCCAGAGAGGAAGUCUCACAACUGGCUCCACCAUCCAUCGAAGCUGAAAAAUCCAUAAAGGCAUAGUAGUAUCUGUAUUACUUAUUUUCUACUAUUCUGAAAUCUAUGGAAAGAUAAAUGAAAGGAGAGAAACGUGAAGAAAAGGUUUUAAGUAGCUGUUCUUUCUUCGAGUGGUUGGUACCAACAUGCUCUGCACCCUGCACUCGGUCUUGCUGCUAGCCAUUGUUAUUCUGUGCUUUUCAUUAACAGACAAAUCAAAUCGUUUGUAUGCUGUAUUAAUUAUGAAAAAUUCAGUAACUUCUAAAGGUUGCUAUAUAAAAUCUGCUAUAUUGAAGACAGUCAAGUUAUAUGCUAUUUUCUGAUAGCAUAGAAAAAUGAUAGUCGUAGAGGUUACGAAUUUGAAAAUCCGGAACAGCAGAGGAACAGGGUUUGGUGGCAAAGAGUGCUCAUCAUCGCAGGGUGCUUCAGCGUUUGUGUACACCUGCUUGUGGUGAUGUUGUUAUAAUAGAACGGUAUAAAUGAAAUGCAAUAUAGCAUUAGAUAUCCAUGUUGUGGAGAGAAUAGCAGCUAUUAGAAAGCAGGAGACGGUGCUUAGAUUCUGCAAGUAUACCUGAAAGGAAGGUGGGAGCACAGAUAAUUCCCACUAAAGCUGACGGAAGCUGUUGGUUUUUGCUGGGAUUGUACAGUCAAAGACUGACUGCAUUCUUUUUCUUUCAGCAUUGGGAGUCUAAACUAUCCAAGUCCAGGCUCAGAUGGGAGAAAAAUCCUCCAGGAGCUGCAUGUUAUGCCAUGAUGUAUCUAAUCACUCACCUGACAACUUGGAAGCUGCGGAUACGUUAGGAAAAUCUGAGACUAAACAAGGUGUACUGAAGAUGUGUGUGCUCAUACGGGGAAUCAUUGCAUGUUUUCACAGGUAGGAUACCAGAAAUGAUUGCAUAUUUUUACAGGUAGGAAUAAAGAGUUGAUUAAAAUCCAUUUUAAAUGAAAGAAGAAUGUUUUGAUUGUGAGUUUUGAAUUCUUAGAGGAAAAAAUCAAUAAAGGUAAAGG